rnacentral:rRNA from 1 species
GGCGGUGCUUUAAACCCACCUAGAGGAGCCUGUUCUGUAAUCGAUACCCCCCGAUAAACCUCACCGCACUUAGCCACUCAGCCUAUAUACCACCGUCCUCGCCCACCCUUUAAAGGAACAACAAUGGGCAAAGUAAUAAACAUUAAAACGUCAGGUCAAGGUGUAGCCAAUAAUGCGGAAAGAAAUGGGCUACAUUUUCUUAUCAGAAAAUACGGACGGCCCAAUGAAAUACCGCCAGAAGGAGGAUUUAGUAGUAAAGAGAAAAAAGAGUGUUCUCUUUAAUAAGGCAAUAAAGCGCGCACACACCGCCCGUCACCCUCUUCGUACCAUAAAAAAAUAUUACCUAAACACUAAUAUCUAAACAAGAAGAGGUAAGUCGUAACAUGGUAAGCCUACCGGAAGGUGAGCUUGGAAUA